GAUGAACGCUGGCGGCGUGCUUAACACAUGCAAGUCGAACGGUGAACCCGGAGCUUGCUCUGUGGGAUCAGUGGCGAACGGGUGAGUAACACGUGAGCAACCUGCCCCUGACUCUGGGAUAAGCGCUGGAAACGGCGUCUAAUACUGGAUAUGUGACGUGACCGCAUGGUCUGCGUUUGGAAAGAUUUUUCGGUUGGGGAUGGGCUCGCGGCCUAUCAGCUUGUUGGUGAGGUAAUGGCUCACCAAGGCGUCGACGGGUAGCCGGCCUGAGAGGGUGACCGGCCACACUGGGACUGAGACACGGCCCAGACUCCUACGGGAGGCAGCAGUGGGGAAUAUUGCACAAUGGGCGCAAGCCUGAUGCAGCAACGCCGCGUGAGGGAUGACGGCCUUCGGGUUGUAAACCUCUUUUAGCAGGGAUGAAGCGAAAGUGACGGUACCUGCAGAAAAAGCGCCGGCUAACUACGUG
rnacentral:rRNA from 1 species